rnacentral:rRNA from 1 species
AUCAACUUUCGAUUGGUAGGAUAGAGGCCUACCAUGGUGGUAACGGGUAACGGGGUGUUAGGGCACGACACCGGAGAGGGAGCCUGAGAAACGGCUACCACAUCCAAGGAUGGCAGCAGGCGCGCAAAUUACCCAAUCCCGACACGGGGAGGUAGUGACAAUAAAUAACAAUACGGGGUUCUUUUGGAUCUCGUAAUUGGAAUGAGUACAAUUUAAAUCUCUUAACGAGGAACAAUUGGAGGGCAAGUCUGGUGCCAGCAGCCGCGGUAAUUCCAGCUCCAAUAGCGUAUAUUAAAGUUGUUGCAGUUAAAAAGCUCGUAGUUGAAUUUCGGGGUUAGUAGGUUGGUCAUGCCUCUGGUAUGUACUGGUCUCACUGAUUCCUCCUUCCUUAUGAACCGUAAUGCCAUUAAUUUGGUGUUGCGGGGAAUUUGGACUGUUACUUUGAAAAAAUUAGAGUGUUUAAAGCAGGCUAACGCUUGAAUACAUUAGCAUGGAAUAAUGAAAUAGGACGUUCGAUCUUAUUUUGUUGGUUUCUAGGAUUGACGUAAUGAUUAAUAGGGAUAGUUGGGGGCAUUAGUAUUCAAUUGUCAGAGGUGAAAUUCUUGGAUUUAUUGAAGACUAACUACUGCGAAAGCAUUUGCCAAGGAUGUUUUCAUUAAUCAAGAACGAAAGUUAGGGGAUCGAAGACGAUCAGAUACCGUCGUAGUCUUAACCAUAAACUAUGCCGACUAGGGAUCGGAUGAUGUUAAUUUUUUAAUGACUCAUUCGGCGCCUUACGGGAAACCAAAGUGUUUGGGUUC